rnacentral:rRNA from 1 species
CCAACGGGUGGCUGCAGUGGGGAAUAUUGGACAAUGGGGGGAACCCUGAUCCAGCCAUGCCGCGUGUGUGAAGAAGGCCCUCGGGUUGUAAAGCACUUUCAGUGAGGAAGAACGCCUGGUGGUUAAUACCCAUCAGGAAAGACAUCACUCACAGAAGAAGCACCGGCUAACUCCGUGCCAGCAGCCGCGGUAAUACGGAGGGUGCGAGCGUUAAUCGGAAUUACUGGGCGUAAAGCGCGCGUAGGUGGCUUGAUAAGCCGGUUGUGAAAGCCCCGGGCUCAACCUGGGAACGGCAUCCGGAACUGUCAAGCUAGAGUGCAGGAGAGGAAGGUAGAAUUCCCGGUGUAGCGGUGAAAUGCGUAGAGAUCGGGAGGAAUACCAGUGGCGAAGGCGGCCUUCUGGACUGACACUGACACUGAGGUGCGAAAGCGUGGGUAGCAAACAGGAUUAGAUACCCUAGUAGUC